AUCGGCUCAAUGUGUGAAUCUGGCUUGGGGUACGUCCCGGGUCCGAGUUGUGCACUACGGAUGCUUCGUCUGCGUUUGUAAAGGCGGUGGAAGUCCGUUGAAACACGGCACCUCAGAGGGUCACAGUCCUGUACCGCCUGCCUGCACUCGCGCCAAUGACAAGUGCUCCUCGAGUCGCGUAGUUUUGUAAUGCUGCGCCAAGUGGGAGGUAGAGACCUUCUAAGGCUAAAUAUGAUGACGUGACCGAUAGCACACAAGUACCGCGAGGGAAAGGUGAAAAGCAACCAUGAAAAAUGGGUUGAAACAGUAGUGAAAGCGCUACCGGGAUAAGGGCUAUCGGGUGCUGGGGCUCUUUGGGUGUGCUUUAGUGCUACCCUCGGAGACGGCCCGCGAGGGUUGAUGUUGGGGCGAUAGACGCGCUGCAGGAAUUCGGCUGCCUUCGGGCAGUGUUGUAGCCUGCGGUUGCCGAUCCUCCUGCGACCUUGUGUGAUUGCGGGUCUUGCGACCGUUAGCCGCCCGUCUUGAAACACGGACCAAGGAGUGCACCUUGCAUGCGAGUCGAAGGGAUUUGAAACCUGGAGGCGUAGCGAACGCGACGAUGGGGAAUGUCCUUGUGGCAGACACCCGCACCCGCCUUGUGCGAGGUAGAGCAUGUACGGUGCGACCCGAAAGAUGGUGAACUAUGCCCGGGUAAGGUGAAGCCAGUGGAAACGCUGGUGGAGGCCUGUAGCGAUUCUGACGUGCAAAUCGAUCGCGUAACCUGGGUAUAGGGGCGAAAGACCUAUCGAACCGUCUAAUGGCUGGUUCCCUCCGAAGUUUCCCUCAGGAUAGC
rnacentral:rRNA from 1 species